UAUGUAGGGGGCGAGCGUUGUCCGGAUUUAUUGGGCGUAAAGAGCGUGUAGGCGGCUUGGCAAGUCUGCUGUGAAAACUCGAGGCUCAACCUCGAGCUGUCGGCGGAAACUGCUUGGCUAGAGUCCGGAAGAGGAGAGUGGAAUUCCUGGUGUAGCGGUGAAAUGCGCAGAUAUCAGGAAGAACACCUAUGGCGAAGGCAGCUCUCUGGGACGGUACUGACGCUGAGACGCGAAAGCGUGGGGAGCGAACAGG
rnacentral:rRNA from 1 species